rnacentral:miRNA from 1 species
AAUACCUCAGUCUUUUCGGAUG